GAAGGCCCAGAAUGCACUGCACAACAUAAAGACCUUAACUGGGAUGCACCAUCCUAUUCAGAUGAAGCCUGCAGACAGUGAGAAAUCAAAUGCUGUGGAGGACAGGAAGUUGUUCAUCGGCAUGGUGUCAAAGAAGUGCAACGAGAACGACGUGCGGGUCAUGUUUCUCCG